GGUCUCUUCUUCAGCCCUUGGACACAGUGUCAUCCCUAUUGGAGUCAAUAAAGGAGAACGGAAAGAGAGAUUCAAGACACACAAAGAGGAUAAACAUGGAGUUGAAGGCCAUGUGAAGAUGGAAGCAGAGACUGGAAUGAUGCAUCACCAUCAAGAAUUGCUGGCACCCACAAGAAGCUAGGAGAGAGGCGUGGGACAGAUUCUCCCUCUAAACCUCCAGAAGAAACCAACUCUGCUGACACUGUGAUUUCAGACUUCUGGUCCUCACAACUAGGCAUGGUUUGCAUAUCCAUCAUAGUUCAUGACUGACAAUCUAGAGGUUGGAGCUAACAUUGAAAAACAUAUUGAUUAUUAUGGGACCAAGUGUUUCCCAAAUUAGGGCACUGUCCUAGGUACUGUGGGGACCAAAACAUUCAGACCUGCUUCUAAGGAGUGCAGUCCAUGGAAGAGUCAGAAUAACAAAUCAACAUUUGUACUACACCAGACCAGCUCUCUUCUAAGGUUGCUAUGACUUCCCAGCAGGCAUUCUAAUAUAUGCAUUCUUCAUAACAACUGUGUGAAACAUAUUAAUAUCCUCAUUGUUAACGAUGAAGAAACUAAAUCUCAGGAAGAAAAACUAAGUGAAGACAAAAGAAGGAUUUGAACUGAGGUUUGUCAGACUCUCGGGACCAUGCUGUUGAAACCACUAAACCACGCUGCCUCUGGGUCACUUGAUUAUUCUGGGAGAUUCUGGGAGUCUUUUCUCCAACACUCCAGUGGCAUCUGACUAUGUGAGCUGAUAAGAUCUAUAGAUCUCCCCAGCAGUUGUUGAAAAGCAAGAGCAGGAACCGAGAGAAAGCCCCUUCUUUUAGUCGAAAACUCUUACUCUGCUUAGGAAAACCAUGAACCCAAACAGUGUGGGUCAGCCUUUCAAUAUGCAAAACGGACGAAGGCUGAAGCAAUCACAUGCCAUGCACAACUGUCAAACGGCAAGAAUGAAUGAUGGAUGGAAAGAAUGGGAAUGUGUACGUUAUCUUGCUCCACUUUGGACAGUCAUGAUCAUGGAAGAUAGAAGAGGGAUUUCUUAACAUUGGUCAGAGAAGAGGGUAUCAGUUAGCUGGAAGUGCUACUCUGAAAAACUGAUGGCCCUUUGCAGGUGUGACCCUGAGCUCUGCUGGAUUUCUUGUGAAGAAAACUCCAAGGAAUGGAUGAAUGCCUGGAAACUUACUGCUGGAAGUCAUAAGGCAAUGACAAGAAAAUAGCAUAUCAUUGGAAGACUUGACCCAUGGGAUCUAUAAAUUCCUAGGGAAGCUCCUUACUAUAAUUUGUUUGGUUUCUAUGGAAUCCAACAAGAAAAGAAAUAGCGAAACAUGUGGGUUGUCUCCUCUUUGGCACUAAGCCUGGGAGAAUAUGAAGAUAUCUGAAAACAAAGAGGCUUCCUUCAGGUGUUCAGGAGGGGGCUAACACUGCCUACUUGUAUGUCAAGGGCCCAUGGGAGUAGACACUCCCAGAAUGCUACCACUUGGAUUCUCCAGGGAUCAUAUGUGAUACCAAUCAGCUGACAAAGAAAAUAACAACCCAUCUAAGGGGAUUCAGCAGCUAGAAAGAAAAUGAGUAUGCCAAGCAAACUGAAUACACGACCAGCAAAAUAGAACUUCAAAAGGAGACAAAAUACAACAUUCUCUCUCUCUCUGUGUGUGUGUGUGUGUGUGUGUGUGUGUGUGUUUGCAUGUAAAUAACAAAAUUCAAGUUCUGGACACAAUUUUUAGAGCUAAACACAUGACCUUCCAACUAAACUUUUUAUUAGAUAUCAAAGAAGCUGGUCACUGUUGAGGUGAAGAUCAAGUGCAAGAUACAUUUUGAGGCACAGAGCAAAAAUGUAAAGAAUCAGAAAAAGACAAGAGACUUGAGGAUUUAAUCCAAACAACUGAACAGCUAAAAACAAGAGCUACAGGGGCAGAAGAAGAAAAAGUUUAAGAAAGAGACAGUAUAUUAUUUUCUCUGAGAAGAGGUAAAGCUGGAAACCUGUUGUAAGCAAGAUUUAUUGAAUUUUCUCAUCAUAGUCUUAAAAGAGCAGUACUCCAAUAGGUCUUGUUUACUAAAGGAAGAUUUGUUGAAAGAAUCAAACAACUGAUGGAGGCUGAUGAAAAGAAUACAUGACGAUCAAUGACACUUGGUACACACGUUCACACUCACAGACACAUACACAAACGUUGGAUAGGAAAAGGCUGGCUGGCAACAUGUGGCAACAGUGCUCUGUAAGGACUCUUGAAGUAGAAUAAAUAGUCUUACUGAAAGAGGAAUUCAGAUUAUUAUUUUUAAAAACUUGGAACAAGAGUUCUAGGCUGACUCAGCAAAAACUAGGAGCCAGGCUAGGGGAGGGGAUAAGUAAAAAUCCUUCCAAAGGAUUCCUAUCUGGGGAAAGGAGGAGAAGGCCAAGCAUUUAAGAUCUCAUAUUACAGAGGACAGGAGAGGGAGCACAUUGAGAAGAAAUAUAGCAUCUUGGUUGUAUAGUGUGUUCUGGUGUGAAAAUGUGCAUUUAAUGUUCAAAAAUAGUGUGAGAAAAGAUAAUCAUUGAUGGAAUAGUACCAUAAAAGUCCCAAAUUAACAAGAAAAAAAAAAAAAGAAAAACCACAAUAGAUAAUAGCAUGAUCAGCAAAGAUAAGGGAAAGAAAAAAAAAAGAAGUAAUAUAAAAUAAAUAAUUAAAAUAAAGUGUAAAGGAAGACAUAAAAUCAAGUACAAUGGUUACUAUAUCAUUUGUAGGCAGAAUUUUCCCUUUGAAAGACUGAGACGUCAGAUUGGGUUAAAGCAAAUUUAACCCAUGUAUAUGCUAUUUAAAAGAAAAUAAGAUAAAGGUGAACAAAGAUUGAAGAUAAAGAGGUGAAAAAAGAGGUAUCAUACAAAUGCAAGCUAAUAGAAAGUUAUAAUAUUAGUGGCAGCUGAUAUAUUUAAACUUAAAAGCACUAUAGAGGAUAAAAAAUAUUAUAUAAUGAUAAAACUGAUACUACUUGAAGCAAUGAUAAUCAUAAACCUAUAUUUACCCACCAAUUAAAAAACAUCAACUAGCUAAAUACAUAAAGCAAAAACAAUUAAAAAUUUGAGAACUUUUAAAAAGUUAUAAUAGGUAACACUAAUUUAAGGAAGUGAUAGCUCUCUCUAAGAAUUGGACAGAUUAAAUAUGCAAAAAAUUAGUAAAAUCAUAAAGCAAUUGAAGAGUAUCAUACAUCGGUAAGAAUUUGUAAAAAGCUUCCAUCUUUCAAAUAGAGAAUCACAAUUACAAAAUAAUCAUAGUAAUAAUAAUAAUGGUGAUAAUUAUGUACUUGACUAACAAAGGAAAACCUUACAAAUUUUUAAAAGUUGGGUGUGAGCCAUGAGCCAUGGUCUUCUAUCAAGUAUAAUUUGUGACAGAGGAAAAUGAGAGGUGACUAAAGAAAGGUUAUUUCUUAGAAAUAAAAUUUUAAAAAGCACUCUUGAAUUACCAUUGUAGAAAGGGAAAGUCAAAUGGAAAUUAUUAUUUAUCUAAGAACUACAAAGGGAGACUCUUUAUUCUGUAACUUACUACUCCUAAAAU
rnacentral:lncRNA from 1 species